CCUCCUGCCUUCCUCACUCUCUCAGGCGAAGCCCAGGCGCCCACCGACCACCGCAUGAGACAGCUACUGCGCGAUUUUCCAUUUCUCCGUUAUGGGGAAGAAAUGCGAAGGCUGUAAAAUUGCGGAGAAUUAUAAUUAUUGGUCUGAACUUCCUGCAACAAAACACCAAUUCUUCAAGGUCAUGUAUGGCGAUUUUGAGCACCAAAUGAAUAUUCCUCAGAAGUUCAUGGAGUGUUUCAAGGAGAAACUCUCCCCGUGGUGUACACUUAUAGCGCCAAGUAAACACAAAUGGAAAAUCAG